CGGGCGGCAGGUAGCCUAGUGGUUAGAGUGUAGGGGCGGGCGGCAGGUAGCCUAGUGGUUAGAGUGUAGGGGGGGCGGCAGGUAGCCUAGUGGUUAGGGUGUGGUUAGAGUGUAGGUAGCCGAGUGGUUAGAGUGUGGGGGCGGCAGGUAGCCUAGUGGUUAGAGUGUAGGGGGUUAUUUAGUCUAGUGGUUAGAGUGUAGGGGGUUAGGUAGCCUAGUGGUUAGAGCGUAGGGGGUUAGGUAGCCUAGUGGUUAGGUAGCCUAGUGGUUAGAGCGUAGGGGGGGGUUAGGUAGUCUAGUGGUUAGAGCGUAGGGGGGUUAGGUAGUCUAGUGGUUAGAGCGUAGGGGGUUAGGUAGUCUAGUGGUUAGAGCGUAGGGGGGUUAGGUAGUCUAGUGGUUAGAGCGUAGGGGGUUAGGUAGUCUAGUGGUUAGAGCGUAGGGGAGGGUUAGGUAGUCUAGUGGUUAGAGUUUUGGGCCAGUAACCAGCAGGUAGUCUAGUGGUUAGAGUGUAGGGGGGUUAGGUAGUCUAGUGGUUAGAGUGGAGGUCUAGUAUCCAUAAAGGUUGCUAGAUCGAAUCCCCGAGCUGACACGGUACAAAUCUGUCAUUCUGCCCCUGAACAAGGCAGUUAACCCACUGUUCCUAGACCAGUUAACCCACUGUUCCUAGACCAGUUAACCCACUGUUCCUAGACCAGUUAACCCACUGUUCCUAGACCGUCAUUGAAAAUAAAUAUUUGUUCUUAACUGACUUGCCUAAAUAUACUGUAUUGUAUUCUAUACUGACUGUUAAAUGAAGAGAAAAAUAAAUUAAAAUAAAUAAUAACGGCCGGCACGGAGCGAAUGGCAUCAAACACCUGGAAACCAUGGAAACCCCUGUGUUUAAUGUAUUUGAUACCUUU
ensembl:lncRNA